CCUACGGGAGGCAGCAGUGAGGAAUAUUGGUCAAUGGGCGAGAGCCUGAACCAGCCAAGUCGCGUGAAGGAUGACGGCCCUACGGGUUGUAAACUUCUUUUGUCAGGGAGCAAUUGAGUCCACGUGUGGGCUUAGCGAGAGUACCUGAAGAAAAAGCAUCGGCUAACUCCGUGCCAGCAGCCGCGGUAAUACGGAGGAUGCGAGCGUUAUCCGGAUUUAUUGGGUUAAAAGGGAGCGUAGGCGGCCUGCCAAGUCUGAUGUGAAAUACCGGGGCUCAACCCCGGGGCUGCAUUGGAAACUGGCAGGCUGGAGUGCCGGAGAGGCAGGCGGAAUUCCUGGUGUAGCGGUGAAAUGCGUAGAUAUUAGGAGGAACACCAGUGGCGAAGGCGGCCUGCUGGACGGUGACUGACGCUGAGGCUCGAAAGCGUGGGGAGCAAACAGGAUUAGAUACCCUGGUAGUC
rnacentral:rRNA from 1 species